CGUUAGGUUACAGUAAAGGGCACAAGGUGGAUGCCUUGGCACAUGAAGGCGAAAAAGGACGUAAGUGAACGAAAACUAGGGUAAGCUCACAAAAAGCAUUGACCCCUAGGUCUCCGAAUGGGGCAACCCGGUUGUGGAAGACACAAUCAUUACUAAGUGAAUACAUAGCUUAGUAAGGCGAUACCCUGCGAACUGAAACAUCUAAGUAGCAGGAGGAAAAGAAAGAAACAUCGAUUUUCUAAGUAGCGGCGAGCGAACGGAAAAGAGCCUAACUCAUAAGCGAUUUAAUAAUGUUAGUCAAAUUAUCUGAAAAGAUAAACCAAAGAAAGUGAAAGUCUUGUAGACGAAAACAUUAAUAAACGAGAGGGAAAGUAUCACCGGGCACGAGUAACCCGGUGUGAAGAUAGGGGGCCCAUCCCCUAAGGCUAAAUACUAACAUGUGACCGAUAGUGAACAAGUACCGUGAGGGAAAGGUGAAAAGAACCCCGAAAGGGGAGUGAAAUAGAACCUGAAACCUAGUGCCUACAAGCAGACAGAGCGUGAGCGAACGUGAUGUCGUACCUUUUGUAGAAUGGGCCAGCGAGUUAUUCUAAAUUGCAAGGUUAAUGAUUUAAGAUCAGAAGCCGUAGCGAAAGCGAGUCUUAAUAGGGCGAAAGUAAGUUAGAAUAGACCCGAAACCGGGUGAUCUAUCCAUGGUCAGAGUGAAGUUGAAGUAAAAUUCAAUGGAGGCUCGAACCGGGUGCGGUUUAAAACGCAUCGGAUGAACUGUGGAUAGGGGCGAAAAACCAAACGAACCCGGAGAUAGCUGGUUCUCCUCGAAAUAGCUUUAGGGCUAGCCUCUGACCUAAGAUUUUAGGAGGUAGAGCACUGAAUGGUCUAGGGCGGAUUACCGUACCAAAACCUAUCAAACUCCGAAUGCCAAAAAAUCAAGUCAGGGAGUCAGACUUAGGGGGAUAAGCUUCUAAGUCGAAAGGGAAACAGCCCAGACCGACAGCUAAGGUCCCAAAAUUUGAAUUAAGUGGAAAAGGAUGUGAAUCUACUAAGACAACCAGGACGUUGGCUUAGAAGCAGCCAUGCAUUUAAAGAAUGCGUAAUAGCUCACUGGUCAAGUGGGUUUGCGCCGAAAAUGAACGGGGCUCAAAUUCAAUACCGAAGCUUCGGAUUAAUAGAGGGAUUAAGUUUACAAAUGAGACUAGGAAAUAUUUAACAAAAACAGAAGAGAUUAAAAAGAAAAACAAAUUUCAGACGCAGACAUAAAAGAUAGGAUAUUAAAAAGAAAUAUUCAAAAAACACAAGUCUAAAGUCAAAAGUGAGUAACAUAAGAAAUUAUGAACUAACAAUCACUGGUUAAGAGUUAAAAACUAGGACUCAUAGCUAAACUUAAUACCUCUAUUAGUGGUAGAGGAGCAUUGUAUUAGAGACGAAGCCAAGGCGAAAGCAAAAGUGGAUCUAAUACAAGAGAGAAUGCUGGCAUGAGUAGCGAGAAGGGAUGUGAGAAUCAUCCCCGUCGAAACCCUAAGGACUCCUGAGCAAGGCUCGUCCCCUCAGGGAAAGUCGGGACCUAAGCCAAGGCCGAAAGGCGUAGGCGAUGGAUAACAGGUUUAUAUUCCUGUACCGCUUGAAGUCGUUAAGAGAGAAGUGAUGACGCAAAAGGAUAAGCAAAGCCAUCAGAUGGAAAAGAUGGUCUAAAGCCGUAGGAAGAAAAGUAGGCAAAUCCGCUUUUCACAAAUUCUAAAAGCCGAUAGGUAUCGAAAACAUAAGUAGAGAAGUUGCCGAUUCCAGGUUGCCAAGAAAAGUCACUAUCCAGACCAAAGCGCCCGUACCAAAACCGACACAGGUAGGGAGGUAGAGAAUACCAAGACGCGCGGAAGAACCUUUGUUAAGGAACUCGGCAAAAUGUCCCCGUAACUUCGGGAGAAGGGGAGCCUGAGCAAUCAGGCCACAGAAAAGCCCCAGUAAACGGCGGCCGUAACUAUAACGGUCCUAAGGUAGCGAAAUUCCUUGUCGGGUAAGUUCCGACCCGCACGAAAGGUGUAACGAUUUGGGCACUGUCUCAACAAAGGAUCCGGUGAAAUUGUAGUAGUCGUGAAGAUGCGACUUACCCACGCUAGGACGGAAAGACCCCGUGGAGCUUUACUGUAGGCUGAUAUUGGAUUUUGAGAUUAAAUGUACAGGAUAGUUGGGAGACUGAGAUAUCUGGAUGCCAAUCUAGGAGGAGUCACUGGUGGGAUACCAACCUUUUAAUAUCAAAGUUCUAACCAUAGCCCUUGAAUCAGGGCAUGGGACAUUGUCAGUUGGGCAGUUUGACUGGGGCGGUCGCCUCCUAAAAAGUAACGGAGGCGUUCAAAGGUUCGCUCAGAAUGGACGGAAACCAUUCGCAGAGUAUAAAGGCAGAAGCGAGCUUAACUGCGAGAGCUACAACUCAAGCAGAGUCGAAAGACGGACUUAGUGAUCCGGUGGUACCGCAUGGAAGGGCCAUCGCUCAACGGAUAAAAGCUACCCCGGGGAUAACAGGCUUAUCUCCCCCAAGAGUCCACAUCGACGGGGAGGUUUGGCACCUCGAUGU
rnacentral:rRNA from 1 species